AAAAUACACCAGGAAAUUAUUACUUACAUUAUAUGUAUAUUACCACAGUUGGAAACUUUCUAAUCACCAUAAGAUAGUAUACUGGAAUAUAUUCAUUAAAAUGAGAUUUUUGCUUCUGGCUGUUAUUCACUGCGCAUUUGCAGAAGACACAUUUGGUGAAAUUAUCCGGUCCAACGUAUCAACACAUACGUAUAUUGGAGAAACAGUUGUUUUGGCAUGCAACUUUACAUAUGGUGCUUCAAAUUACAGAUGGCGUCGCUUGAAACAAAUUAUUGCAAAAGAAUCGGACGUUAACUUGCGGAACCCUAAACGCCGACGUUAUGAUAUUGUUGGACGACUAAAGAAUGAUGAAUACAAUCUUCAAAUAUCUGAUGUGAUACUAUCUGAUUCUGGUCUUUAUUGGUGUGAAAUGAAUAUGGGUGGACCGAUUACGAAGCAAUUAUUCACAUUGUACAUAUCAGGCAAGUUAAAUAGAAAUAUGUUUCCGAAUGGUAAAAUGUCUACCAAAAUUUAAAAAUCUAAGCUUCAAUUCAAAUUUGCAAAGCAUUGUUAAGUGGAAUUGAUAUUCUCAAAUUUUUCUUCAUUUGUUAUUGAAAAUAUUCAACGAGUGACCGAACAACACAGUAAUUGCAUAGCGCAUAAGUUAAUCAUCAGUGUUGUUCGGUCAGGAGUUGAAUAUUUGUCUAUAUUUCAAUUCUUGGAUUAGUUAUUCUUUUCAUAACAUUGACCAUGAACUUACAAUGUAUAUAAAUUGAAAUAAAGUACAAAUUAGAAGGAACUAUAUUUUUUUCUACGCGUUCUCGAUUCGUUUUGAUGCAAUGUCAUCGACAAUGUCUUGACAACGCCCGUUGUUGUAUGACGUCACAUUAGUGAAAUUGUUGGAUUUAUUUCACAUGUGAAAUUAUUGGUUUUUAUUUCACUGGGAAAUCAUGGUAUUUGAUUGCAACCAAUGUAAUAACUUUUAAUAACUCGCCCCUAUUAUUUCUCUUUUAAGGCAGUCGGUUCAGUUCUUUCAGUUAGUAUUUACUAAGAUGUU